rnacentral:rRNA from 1 species
UUGCCAGACUCCUACGGGAGGCAGCAGUGGGGAAUAUUGCACAAUGGGGGAAACCCUGAUGCAGCGACGCCGCGUGAGUGAAGAAGUAUUUCGGUAUGUAAAGCUCUAUCAGCAGGGAAGAAAAUGACGGUACCUGACUAAGAAGCCCCGGCUAACUACGUGCCAGCAGCCGCGGUAAUACGUAGGGGGCGAGCGUUAUCCGGAUUCACUGGGUGUAAAGGGAGCGUAGACGGCCAUGCAAGCCAGGGGUGAAAGCCCGGGGCCCAACCCCGGGACUGCCCUUGGAACUGCAUGGCUGGAGUGCGGGAGGGGCAGGCGGAAUUCCUGGUGUAGCGGUGAAAUGCGUAGAUAUUAGGAGGAACACCAGUGGCGAAGGCGGCCUGCUGGACAGAAACUGACGUUGAGGCUCGAAAGCGUGGGGAGCAAACAGGAUUAGAUACCCUGGUACA